UGCCAGCCGCCGCGGUAAUACGAAGGGCCCGAGCGUUAAUCGGAAUCACUGGGCUUAAAGGGUGCGCAGGCGGACAGGUCAGUGUCUUGUGAAAUCCCACGGCUCAACCGUGGAAUUGCUUGGCAUACUGCCUGUCUUGAGCCCGGCAGGGGCCGUCGGAACUCUAGGUGGAGCGGUGAAAUGCGUAGAUAUCUAGAGGAACGCCAAAGGUGAAGACAGACGGCUGGGCCGGUGCUGACGCUCAGGCACGAAGGCGUGGGUAGCGAACGGGAUUAGAUA
rnacentral:rRNA from 1 species